rnacentral:rRNA from 1 species
GAAUCUGCCCUCAGGAGGGGGAUAACGGUUGGAAACGACCGCUAAUACCCCAUAUGCCGAGAGGUGAAACGAAAUUCGCCUGAGGAUGAGCCCGCGUCUGAUUAGCUAGUUGGUGGGGUAAAGGCCUACCAAGGCAUCGAUCAGUAGCUGGUCUGAGAGGAUGAGCAGUCACACUGGAACUGAGAAACGGUCCAGACUCCUACGGGAGGCAGCAGUGGGGAAUUUUCCGCAAUGGGCGAAAGCCUGACGGAGCAAUACCGCGUGAGGGAGGAAGGUUCUUGGAUUGUAAACCUCUUUUCUAGGGGAAUAAAAAAAUGAAGGUACCCUAGGAAUAAGCAUCGGCUAACUCCGUGCCAGCAGCCGCGGUAAUACGGAGGAUGCAAGCGUUAUCCGGAAUUAUUGGGCGUAAAGAGUCCGUAGGUGGAAGUUCAAGUCUGCUGUCAAAGAAUGGAGCUUAACUCCAUAAAGGCAGUGGAAACUGAGCAACUAGAGUGAGGUAGGGGUAACGGGAAUUCCCAGUGUAGCGGUGAAAUGCGUAGAUAUUGGGAAGAACAUCGGUGGCGAAAGCGCGUUACUGGGCCUAAACUGACACUGAGGGACGAAAGCUAGGGUAGCG